GUGUGCUUGUGUGUGUCUGUGUAAAGACAUUAGAAACAUACCAGCACUGAGUCCUGUGAUUGAACAGGAGGAACGUAUCACCCAAGGCCUCUAUUCCAAACCUACUAGGAUACAGAAUGAAGUAGGCCAGGAACCUUAUGAAAGGCCCUAUUAAAAAAAAAAAAUAGGGAUGAAAUCACAGACUGAGGAAUAUACAAGGAGAGCUUGACAAAAGAAUCAGGAGAAAUGUCAGAGUCAGCAUGUACUUUGCUGCAACAACAUCACAUAGGGUUCAUUUUAACCAAUGCCACUUCCCUGCAGGCUUUUGUGCUCUGAGAUGGAGAACAGGAUCGGGGCAUUCCAAUUAUCUAGAUAUGCUUUGACUUACUUUCCUACUUACACCAGCCAUUGAUGAAUCUAAAUCCAAAUGAAGAAGAUUCAAAUUCUAGAAUCAUUUAGCAGGACAUUUUACCUAGAAAUAGAAGGAAAAAUAUCAUCCCUACGACUUUGUAUGACUUUGUUGUAUCUCCCACAAAUCACAUUGUGGAAUUUUUACUGUAUCGAAAGAUUGUUGAAAUUGAUCUUGAAGUUAGCUCACUGAGAUGGGUCCAAGAAUGAAGCAGAGCAUGAAACUUCAUAUAUGGAUAUUUAAGUCAUUUAUAUCCAUGCUGAGAAUAUAUUUACUGUGGUUGACUGACAUCUGUCACUGAAACAGCAGCUAAUUAGAAGGAAAAAAAUUUAAGAAAAAAACAAGCCUGAGUUCUGCUCUAUAAUUUAAGAAGACUCAGCUUCAUCUACAAGUUGUGAUACACAAGUUCAUGAGAAUGGUAAGAAAGAUGUAUUUUCCAACUAAACAAGAAGCUGUUUUGAACACCGUAAAUGACAGCAUGUUUUAAGCAGUCUCUGACUUAAAAAAAGAUGGUAGUAGAGAGGAAGGACCACAGAUCUAAGCUGACAAACCACUAUUAUUGAUGUCUGACAGAUGGUGCCUUUCAUUUCUGUGGAAUUGAUGCACCACCAGACCAAAGGGAUGCGCAACCAGAAUGGGAGCCGAUGAUGAAUUCUAGCUGGAUGCUAAGCUCAGCCAUGGCACAGAGUCUGAGGCAAAUGAAGCACAAAGCAGAGUGCUCUUUUGAGAUUUACCCUUUGACCUUUGAAGGAGAAGAAGAGAAACUAACAAAUGACAUUUUUUAAAUUUUUUAUUUUUUGAGAUGGAGUCUCUCUCUGUCGCCCAGGCUGGAGUACAAUGGCAUGAUCUCGGCUCACUGCAACCUCACCUCCCUGGGUUCAAGCAAUUCUCCUGCCUCAGCCUCCGGAGUAGCUGGGAUUACAGGUGCCGGCCAUCACACCCAGCUAAUUUUUGUAUUUUUAGUAGAGACAGGGUUUCGCCAUGUUUGCCAGGCUGGUCUCCAACUCCUGACCUUAAGUAAUCCACCGCCUCAGCCUCCCAAAGUGCAGGAAUUACAGGCAUGAGCCACUGCCCCCCAGCCCAAAUGACAUUUAAGGUUAGAUUGGAGCUGAGAGUUUGAACAAACUUCAAAUCUCAGAAUAACAGCAAAAUUUCAGUCACAUUAUGUGGAUUCAGUCACAUUGUGAUCAAAACAGAAGAAAAAGGGUUAACUAUCUACUUGAAGAAAAAAGAUCUUCAUGUAGAGGGAAACAGAGACCAAGAGGAGAUAAAUUGGUUUAAGGAUAUGUCAAUACCUUUUCUUUGAAUGACAAGAAGCUUUUGAUACUACUCUUUCCUCUUGGAAAUUAUCCAAAAAAAUAAUGUUUACUAUUUUCUAGACUGAAGUUUAAGACUUGGUUGGGUUUUAAGGUCUCUAAAGCUAAUAUACAUUUCUUGUUCAUUCAUUUAUUCACCAAAUGGAAAUCUUUAGUUUGCUGCUCUUCUUCUGGGCAAAACUCAAAGUUUUUUCUUUAAUACACAUAUUCUCUUUGGCACACAUAAUUAGGUGGCAUGGAUGGGCUUCACUACCACCCCUGAUGCUAACAGUGCCCUUUAAGAAGCAGCUAUUCAGCCUCCUGGAAAUAGGAUUUUCCUCUUUCUUCCAUGGUAGCAAGUAGAAGAUUUUCUUUCUUCCCUUGAUGGUGUGAUAUGAAGAUAUGGAGCCUGGAACAACUAAACCCAUUAUGCUGCCAAGAGAAGACACCUGGGCCUUGGUGGGUUUGAACCACUGAAUUAAGUCUUCACCAAAAUCAGAACAUCUUCUGGACUUUUAAGUUCCAUGAGUUAAUAAACCCUCUUUAUUGGUUAAGCCUUUUUGGUUCAGGUUUUUUGAGUCAUUUGUUUUCAAGAAUCUUUGCAGAGUCAAAAUAACAUUGUGCCAGUUUCUAGAACUAAGACAGUUAAGACUAUCCUAUGCUUUUAAGAGGCUUCCUUUGUGAUGCAAAUAUGACCUCUGAGCAAGUAAGAGACUGAAGUACUAGAAAAAAAACGUCUGAAUUCAAUUUUUAAAAAGGACAAUUAUAAGAAAGAAAAGGAAGAAACAUUUUGUCAGGGGGCCCGGAUAUAGGAACAGAUAACAAAAGAUUGUUCCACCUGCCUGCCUAGGAGAAACAACAAACCAAAAAGUCAUCUGAAAAUCUGCAACUUUUGAUCUAAAUGCAAAUCAAACCAGUUUCUGUGAAAAGCACUUAAACAUCCAGAAGGCUUGUUGUGCAGAACUGAGAAUUUGGGGAUUGCCCACAGCCUUGAAAAGUACAGAACAUGUUCUUUCCUCCAACAAAUAAUUGGGAACAAGAAGUCUGUCUGGAAUUAAUUCAAUUGGUGUCAAGGGUGAGUUACAAAACCAUCAACAUCUAAGAAAUCAACUGUGUUAUCUUUAUCCUGUGUUUUUAUCCAUAUGAAUAAUUUAAACUAUUAUAAAUAGCAGAUUGAUUGUAUUUUCAGAUCAUAGCUAUAUUUAAUUACAUCUUCUGUCACAUAAAAAAUGGCUAAGAUUUUUAACCUUUCUUUUUCAAGAGUAAAGGCAGCUCCCUGGCAUGACCAGGAAUGGGCCUUUUGUUGAACACAAAAUUGAGAUUUAUGGUGCUGGGUUAUAUAAAGAAAAAGGAAAAUAAAUGUAUUUGUCUUGUGACUAUAAAGAAUGAUUUCUUGUAGAUUUAGCUUUGGACUUCUACAUACAAAAGAGGGAUGUGUGAUGUGGCACAGUAAGACUAAAUCCUAAUGUGUACAAGUCACCUGGAUAUUGUGUUGAAAUGCAGAUGCAGACUUAGGAGAUCUGAGGGAGGGCCUUAGAUCUGCAUUUCCGGUAAGAUCCCCAUUGAUGCUAAUGCAUUUGGGCCUACUGGCCACACUUUAAGAAGCAAGAGUAUAGAAGAAAGAACUAAGGUAUAUAGUAUUCAAGAAGUCUGGCUUUAGUUCCAGUUUCAUCACUAAUUAGCCAUGAGACCUCACCAAUAUCACUUAAAUAUAUUCCUCAUGUAUAAGAUGAUGGGGCUGGACUUAGUCAUCUCAAAAUUCCUGACACAAGAACUGGGAGUGAUGACGUGUGCCUGUAAUUCCAUCUACUCAGGAGGCUGAGGCAGGAGGAUUACUUUCUUUCUUUCUUUUUGAGACUGAGUCUCACUCUUUCGCCCAGGCUGAAGUGCAGUGGUGUGAUCUCGGCUCACUGCAAACUCCACCUCCCCAGUUCAAACAAUUCUCCUGCCCCAGCAUCCUGAAUAGCUGGGACUACAGGUGCCCACCACCACACCUGGC
rnacentral:lncRNA from 1 species